rnacentral:lncRNA from 1 species
CCACCAAAUUCUGUUGAUUAAACUCAUCAGCACUUGCCUCGAGUACUCGAUGCGCAAAAUUAAUUACUUUAUAUAUACUUGCUGCAUGGAAGGAAAAUGAAACCACCUAACAAGUUGAAAGGAGUCCUUGAAGGUUUACUUUUGAUCCAAUACAAGCAGUUGCUCAAAUACUCCUAUUACAUGAACUUGACAACAGCAACGACAAUGAGACAGCUAGAAUCAAUGCAAAUAUUACUGGUCCCCAGGCAUAUUGAUAACUGGAGGAGACAUCAGGUCUGGAUGGUGAGGCUUGGAGCUGCUACUUCAACCAUCCUUGGCUUCUU